rnacentral:rRNA from 1 species
GACGGGAUCAUUACCGAGUUUACGGCUCCCAACCCAAUGUGGAACGUGUACCAAACUGUUGCCUCGGCGGGAUCUCUGCCCCGGGUGCGUCGCAGCCCCGGACCAAGGCGCCCGCCGGAGGACCAACCAAAACUCUUAUUGUAUACCCCCUCGCGGGUUUUUUUAUAAUCUGAGCCUUCUCGGCGCCUCUCGUAGGCGUUUCGAAAAUGAAUCAAAACUUUCAACAACGGAUCUCUUGGUUCUGGCAUCGAUGAAGAACGCAGCGAAAUGCGAUAAGUAAUGUGAAUUGCAGAAUUCAGUGAAUCAUCGAAUCUUUGAACGCACAUUGCGCCCGCCAGUAUUCUGGCGGGCAUGCCUGUCCGAGCGUCAUUUCAACCCUCGAACCCCUCCGGGGGGUCGGCGUUGGGGAUCGGCCCUGCCUUGGCGGUGGCCGUCUCCGAAAUACAGUGGCGGUCUCGCCGCAGCCUCUCCUGCGCAGUAGUUUGCACACUCGCAUCGGGAGCGCGGCGCGUCCACAGCCGUUAAACACCCAACUUCUGAAAUGUUGACCUCGGAUCAGGUAGGAAUACCCGCUGAACUUAAGCAUAUCAAUUAAGCGGAGGA